rnacentral:rRNA from 1 species
UCACAUAGUCAUACCACCCUGAAUGUGCCUGAUCUCAUCUGUUCUUAGGAGCUAAGGCAGGGUUGGACCUGGGUUAAUAUUUGUAUGGGAGACCACUUGGGCAUACCAGGUGCUGUGGACU